rnacentral:lncRNA from 1 species
CCGAGUGAGCAAAGGCACGAGUGAGCCUGGUACACUUCUGGGCAGGCAGAAGGAAGGCAGUUAGGCUGUUAGGAAGGCAGUUAGGCUGCAGUGAAUUCUACAAAGAGGCUAUGGGAAAGAAACCUGGAAAGGUAGGGAGGUAUGGAUAUGGACAAGCUAUGCCAAGGAGCAGGGCUUUGUCAUGGAGAGUGACUAGGUGCUUUUACAUAGGAAAGUCACCUGAUAAUAUUAAAACCUGUGAAAUAUCACUCUGGUGGAAGUGUGAAUGAAUUUGAAAGGGGUGUAACACUGUUCUACUUUGUUUACUCCUCAGUACCCUUGGCUGUGUACAUUUGAGUAAAGAGAGCACUAUAAAAUCAAAAACCAAUGAAAUGGUUUCCAGAACACAGAACUAUUAAGCUUAAGAAAAGGACAGAAGGAACUGAAGAGAGAGGAACUGUUUUGGAGCAUCACACUUCCACCUCAGAAGAAAUAAGGAAGGAAGGAGGAGGGUGUUCCCACGGCUCUUCAACCAGGCCGGCUCUUCAGCCUACAUCCCCAUCUCAUCAAGUAAAAGGGAUUUUUCAACUGGACCAACCAGAUGGUUUAACAGUGCACUCCCACACCAUUCAACUACGCAAGGGAGAUACACUUAACAUAUGCAGUCGUAUAACACCUACUAACAUUUUCAAACAUUAAACCUUUAAAAAAGAGUUCUAAAGAAAUAGAAGCUUGAAGUAUCAUCUCUCAAGUAUAUAGACACUACUUCAUGGUGUGGUAAUAUAUGCAUAUAGAAGCUAGUAAACACCUCCAGGAGAUGCAAAAGGAAUUAGAACUGCCACAAGGUGCAAGCAAAACCUUGAGUUCUGUUUUUCCUCUUCUAAUCCUUCACCCAUCUGAGCUAAAGUCUAGACCUAAGGAGGCUACUAAUUCAGGGAUCGAGUAAUCUGCCAAGCAAGAGUUUAUUCAAGCACAGUUUGAAAUAAAGGUUUCAAAUGCAUAGCCUGUCGAUACUUUGGAAGGAUUCUCAUCAUAACGAGUAUGCAAUUUGCUAUAAAGAAGAAUGCCCAUUACGGACUAAAUGUUUAUGUCCUCCUAAAAUUCAUAUGUUGAAGGCCUAACUCUCAAUGUGAUGAUUAUGUGGAGAUGGUGCCUUUGGGAGGAUAUGGGAGGACACCUGAGACGGCAGGCCAGAAGUCACUCAGUAGGAGAAACAUCCGUUAGAAGUAAUAAUGUGGGAUUGCUGAAGUAAAGACUAUAGGAAGAAAAAAGUGUCUGUGUGUAGGAAACGGAAAGGGAGAGAAAAAUACACUGAGAUGGUAAAGUAAGGAAGUGGAAGAUCAGCAGAAUGUGCAGAUGCCAAGCCAUCCAAGAAAAUCAUCUCUUGUGAUUGUUGCGAAGUCAACUAGCUAAUGUGACUCACUGCUAGGCUGUUGGAUCUGAGACUUAUGUGGGAUAAUUUAGAAACUUGCUAGUGUCUUAAGAUCAAUUACUCACCAAUGAGAGUGGCAUUGAACUGUGAAUGUUCCUCCUAGAUUUUCCAUGAAGACUAAUGGUUUUGUCUUGUCUUGAAUUUGUUUUAAUUACAAUUUGUAUACAUCCUGUUCCACCCUGAAAUUUUUAUUUUCCAAAUGGUUUUUCAUUUAAAGAGACUAAAUAAAGGUUCUGACUGAGUUGUACUUGUGGGAACUCCAAAAUCUUUUUAUAGGAAGCUAUUUUCAUCAAAUAGUGUUGAGAAUCAAGUUUCCAGUUGGAGAAAAUAACAGAGACAUGCAAAUUCAGGAUGUAGCUGUACAGCAAUGUUAGUGAAGAGAGAAAAUUUUGAGUCAUUUAGACAUUAACCAUUAAGCAUCUGGAUUUUUUUAAAUGUUAAGACAGAAAAAAAUACCUGUAUGUCAACCAAAAUUUUAUUUAAUUUAGUGAACUGUGAUAGGGACUCCUCUCUGCUCAUCCAAAUCCAGGUUUUCUUCUGCUCCUGGACACAUAAGCAGGGUAUGUGUUGCAGUUAGCUGUGGCCAGGACAUUGGACUUGUGGUCAAUGGAAUAUGCACAAGAAGAGAUGUGCGAUAUUUCCAAGCCUGACUCCCUAAACAGUAAAUACUUUCGAGUCAUAAUUUUCCACAUUCUGUCCUAUUAGCUGUGUCAAUGGAAUGACUAUUGGCAUCUUAGAAGUUAGAGAUGAAAGAUCUCCUAUCAGCCUGAUUCUUCAGAGACUUACUUGGAACAGAACCUCUGCUGUGGAUCUUAAACCACUCACUCUGGGGAAUGGUGAGGAUUAAAUUCCUAUUUUGUUUGA